rnacentral:lncRNA from 1 species
UUUACUUUCCAAACUCAGUCGGAAGCGGAAACGCAACUUUCAUACCUUGUCUGCCAAAACGGAAACAUUCAGAUUCUUCCUGUCGGGAAAAGGUUAAAGAAAUCUGAAGAUACACUGGCUUUCGGGGUGUAAUUGGAAGCAUACUCGACACGUAUUCGAGAGGUUCAGGGUUAGAGUUCUAGCGACGGCACUCCACAUUUUUUACGUCUCCUGCUCAAAGUAACCAAAUGCCUCUCUCUACAUUUCUCGAAGCGAAAGCGGCUGGCCGAAGUUACAGUGAACAAAGUUUUUAUGUAAAAAUCAAAUGUUCGCUUAGAUUUUGUGACCAUUAUAUGACAAUUGAGAGUUUUAAGAAACUUAAAAACCUUAUAUAACUUUAGAAAACUUACAGGUGAUAUUAUACGGAUCUAUACUAGUUUACAGUGUUGAAAUUAACAGAAUGUACAGUCAGACAGACGAUCAUCCUGUCUACCUUCUAAAUACAACGAUUACUGAUCCAAAAUGAACGUUUAAAAUAAAAUGUUGAUUAAUAAAUUAA